ACACACACACACACACACACACACACACACACACACACACACACGUUGAAUGAAGUGUUGAAUGUGAGUUGUGAACCAAAGGUCACACAGGACGUUCAGGGCCAAAACAAACAGGCCUGCGUCUCUCAAAACACUCCACAUUAAAAGCCUUAAAAACUACAAAUCCCAGCUCUCCACUUCCAAUAAGGCACAAUGCCCAGAAACACUGCCAGGUUACCCAAAUAUGAACCAAUGACAUGGGUCAGGGAGGUGAUCACCUUUAACCAAUCAGGGGUCAGAUCACAUCUAUGAAACCUGCUGUAUGUGUACGGUGGCCCCUGAAGUCCAAACAGAGCAUAAUAUAAAGUACCCUACCAGUCCAGCAGUCUGAUAUCGGUUGACUCGGCACAGAGUCACAUGAAGAGGAGAUCUAAUGGAGUACAUAUGGGAGUCUUCUUCUCCAGUGCAUUCUGGGUAUUAGCAUCUCAUGUCUGUUGAACUGAGACUCCUGAUUGGCUAUUAGCAUCUCAUGUCUGUUGAACUGAGACUCCUGAUUGGCUAUUAGCAUCUCAUGUCUGUUGAACUGAGACUCCUGAUUGGCUAUUAGCAUCUCGUGUCUGCUGAACAGAGACUCCUGAUUGGCUAUUGAGCAUCUCAUGUCUGUUGAACAGAGACUCCUGAUUGGCUAUUAGCAUCUCGUGUCUGUUGAACUGAGACUCCUGAUUGGCUAUUAGCAUCUCAUGUCUGUUGAACGGAGACUCCUGAUUGGCUAUUAGCAUCUCAUGUCUGUUGAACAGAGACUCCUGAUUGGCUAUUAGCAUCUCAUAUCUGGUAAACAGUACAGAGACUGUUGCCUGGCAUAGGCUUGUCAGGUUUGCUGAUCUGAUCGUUACUACCAUCAAGCGUCUUAAUUAGUGCAAAUUUUGCUCGUUAACGAUGGACACACACAGGUACGACUGAUCGGAUUGGGCGAUCGCAGAAAAAGGAUAAUUGGGUUUUUGUUUUGUCCUCAGUGAGUUCUACACAUGUGAACGCACACACACACACGCACACACACACACACACAAUUGCACAUUUCCUUGUACAAAGCAAAGCAGGAGAGUUUGACUUGAGCGAACAGGAGGAGAUCGGGCGCAAACACUCACACACACAAAACACACACACACACACACACACACACCAGUGCCCACACACACACACACACACACACACACAC
ensembl:lncRNA